rnacentral:tRNA from 1 species
AGCGAUGUAGCUCAACUGGAAAGAGCACAGGGCUUCAGUUCUUGGAUUCCCGUUCGAAUCAAACCAUCGUUA